UUUGGCGGCGACCCGGCGGGAGGGGUGAGUAACACGUAUGCAACCUUACCUUUUACCACGGGCAUAACCCGGGAGAAAUCCGGAACUAAUUCCCGAUAAUACAGGGGCUCCGCAUGGAGAUAUUUGUAAAAGAUUUAUUGGUUAAAAGAUGGGCAUGCGCUCCAUUAGUUAGUUGGUGAGGUAACGGCUCACCAAGGCAUCGAUGGAUAGGGGAACUGAGAGGUUUAUCCCCCACACUGGGACUGAGACACGGCCCAGACUCNUACGGGAGGCAGCAGUGAGGAAUAUUGGUCAAUGAGGGCAACCUUGAACCAGCCAAGUCGCGUGAAGGAUGACUGUCCUAAGGAUUGUAAACUUCUUUUAUAUGGGAAUAAUUGUAGCCACGUGUGGUUAUUUGCAUGUACCAUAUGAAUAAGGAUCGGCUAACUCCGUGCCAGCAGCCGCGGUAAUACGGAGGAUCCAAGCGUUAUCCGGAUUUAUUGGGUUUAAAGGGUGCGCAGGCGGGAGAUUAAGUCGGUGGUGAAAUUUUGCGGCUCAACCGUAAGAGUGCCAUCGAAACUGGUUUUCUUGAGUGUAGAUGAAGUAGGCGGAAUUUGUGGUGUAGCGGUGAAAUGCAUAGAUAUCACGAGGAACUCCAAUUGCGCAGGCAGCUUACUAAACUACUACUGACGCUCAUGCACGAAGGCGUGGGGAUCAAACAGGAUUAGAUACCCUGGUAGUCCACGCAGUAAACGAUGAUUACUAGUUGUUUGCGAUACACAGUAAGCGACUGAGCGAAAGCAU
rnacentral:rRNA from 1 species